rnacentral:rRNA from 1 species
AGAGUUUGAUCCUGGCUCAGAUUGAACGCUGGUAGCAUGCUUAACACAUGCAAGUCGAACGGUAACAUAAGGAGCUUGCUCCUUGAUGACGAGUGGCGGACGGGUGAGUAACGCGUAGGAAUCUACCCAUUUGAGGGGGAUACCAGUUGGAAACGACUGUUAAUACCGCAUAAUAUCUGCGGAUUAAAGGUGGCCUUUGUGCUGCCGCAGAUGGAUGAGCCUGCGUUGGAUUAGCUAGUUGGUGGGGUAAGGGCCUACCAAGGCUACGAUCCAUAGCUGAUUUGAGAGGAUGAUCAGCCACAUUGGGACUGAGACACGGCCCAAACUCCUACGGGAGGCAGCAGUGGGGAAUAUUGGACAAUGGGGGAAACCCUGAUCCAGCAAUGCCAUGUGUGUGAAGAAGGCUCUAGGGUUGUAAAGCACUUUAGUUGGGGAGGAAAGCUCAUGAGUUAAUAGCUUGUGGGAAGGACGUUACCCAAAGAAGAAGCACCGGCUAACUCCGUGCCAGCAGCCGCGGUAAUACGGAGGGUGCAAGCGUUAAUCGGAAUUACUGGGCGUAAAGCGCGCGUAGGCGGCUUGUUAAGCCAGAUGUGAAAGCCCCGGGCUCAACCUGGGAACUGCAUUUGGAACUGGCAGGCUAGAGUACAGUAUAGGGUGGUGGAAUUUCCAGUGUAGCGGUGAAAUGCGUAGAGAUUGGAAGGAACAUCAGUGGAGAAGGCGGCCCCCUGGAUUGAAACUGACACUGAGGUGCGAAAGCGUGGGGAGCAAACAGGAUUAGAUACCCUGGUAGUCCACGCCGUAAACGAUGUCUACUAGCCGUUGGGGAGCUUGCCUCCUUAGUGGCGCAGCUAACGCGAUAAGUAGACCGCCUGGGGAGUACGGUCGCAAGAUUAAAGCUCAAAUGAAUUGACGGGGGCCCGCACAAGCGGUGGAGCAUGUGGUUUAAUUCGAUGCAACGCGAAGAACCUUACCAGGUCUUGACAUCCUGCGAAUUUUCUAGAGAUAGAUUAGUGCCUUCGGGAACGCAGUGACAGGUGCUGCAUGGCUGUCGUCAGCUCGUGUUGUGAAAUGUUGGGUUAAGUCCCGUAACGAGCGCAACCCUUAUCCUUAUUUGCCAGCACGUAAUGGUGGGAACUCUAAGGAGACUGCCGGUGACAAACCGGAGGAAGGUGGGGACGACGUCAAGUCAUCAUGGCCCUUACGACCUGGGCUACACACGUGCUACAAUGGAACGCACAGAGGGUUGCAACCUCGCGAGAGUGAGCCAAUCCCAUAAAACGUUUCGUAGUCCGGAUCGGAGUCUGCAACUCGACUCCGUGAAGUCGGAAUCGCUAGUAAUCGCGGAUCAGAAUGCCGCGGUGAAUACGUUCCCGGGCCUUGUACACACCGCCCGUCACACCAUGGGAGUGGGUUGCUCCAGAAGUGGUUAGCCUAACCUUCGGGAGGGCGAUCACCACGGAGUGAUUCAUGACUGGGGUGAAGUCGUAACAAGGUA